UGCUUACCUGGCGAGACCGCGGACGGCUCAUUAAAUCAGUCGUGGUCCAAAUGGGCCAGUUGUUUCUUACUUGGAUAACUGUGGUAAUUCCAGAGCUAAUACAUGCAACUCAUACCCAGAUGGCCUCUCUCUUGUAGUGAGUGUCUUGACGGGUGCUUUUAUUAGACCAAACCGCUGAGGGUGUGGUUCGCCGUUCGCGACGGCCACGCUUGACUCGUGUUGUGGUGACUCUGGAUAACCUUCUUUGUGAAGCGCACGUAGACUUUUUUUGAAAGGCACGGCGCUGCCACUUUCGAGUGUCUGCCUUAUCAGCUAUCAACCGUUCGUUACGUGUGACCGAUGGCUUUCACGGGUAACGGGGAAUCAGGGUUCGAUUCCGGAUAGGCAGCCUGAUAAACGGCUACCACCCCCAAGGACGGCAGCUGACGCGCAAAUUACCCAAUCCCCCCAAAUGGGGGAGGUCGUGACGAAAUAUAACUAUGCGGGCGCCCCUUCUGGGGCCCCGCAAUCGGAAUGAGCACUUUCUAAAC
rnacentral:rRNA from 1 species